AAACUUUUUGGCCUUGCAAAAAUAUGUUGGGCCUUGAACAAUAGUCUUGAUCCAAUAAGGAAAAAGAUGAAACCCUAAACACUCUAACCUUCUUCCUUCUCCUACGCCGUCUCAAACAUCUGCGAUUUUCUUUCUUCUCACCAUCGUUUCUCCUUGCUUCUCACCAUCGUUUCUCCUUGCUUCUCUUCUCAGCCCUAAGCUUCUGUUCGCCACCAGCUCAAUCGACAAGAAGUGAGGAUCUACUUCUUCUCAACUACUGCAUCGAAGGCGGGUCCACGUUUCCUCUACAAUAUAUUGCAUUCAGCACAGUAACGUGCAGCUCACAGCAGCUUUCCAAAUGUCAAACCGGAACCAAUUUGAGCAAAGAAGGAGAGAAGAGUUCUCUCGGACUCCUGUACCACCUCUCCAUUUAUCAAUACAAUCACACAAAUUAGAAACCCUUGCUGCUAACCUCUUGGAGACUUUACCGUCGCCGUUGAAAGAGAUUAACUCGCCACCGUCACCAACUCAGCAUUUUCACGAAAUCAAUCUGAGAUGGCGUCUUCUAAUUAUCCACCAUCCGCUUGUGAUACUGAAAUCAAUGGAACUGAUGAAGAUAUUCCCACUCCUACUUAUAAAAAUAAGGGAAAGAGAAAAGAGAACGCCAGUGAUGAAGAUGCAGAAGGUACUAGUGCUAAGAAGAUGAAGACAAGGUCAUGGGUUUGGGAUCACUUCACCAAAAUGGGGAAAAAAAAAGAGAAGUGCAAACGCCACUAUUGUGGGAGACACUUGGCUUGUCCUAGUAACAAUGGCACUUCUUCAAUGAGGAAGCAUCUACAAUUGUUAUGUAAAGAAUAAAAUGUAUGGCAAAAUGCUCAUAAUAAGGAUACUCAAACUGUUUUGUCUCCUGCUGGUGCUGGCGGUAGUACUAGAGUUAGGAAGGUUUCACAAGCAAUAGUUGGAGAAUCUACUAAUGAGUUCAUGAUUCUUGCGGAAUUACCAUUAUCUUUCGUAUAUUUCUUAGCUUGGAGACAUUUAUGUUCCAAAGUUCAACUGUAUAAGCCUCAUUCUAGGAGAACAGCCACAAGAAAUAUGUGGAGCUUUAUGUUAAUAAGAAAGCUUCUAUGAAGAAGAUUCUUGGGCAGAACAAGCAAAGGUUGUCAUUGACUAUAGACAUAUGGGUCUCAACCACUACUGGAGCCAGCUAUAUGGUAAUAACAGCUCAUUUUGUUGAUGUUAUGUGGAAGUUAAGGAAGAUGGUAAUAGGAUUCAAGAACUUUUCUGAUCAUAAGGGUGAGACAAUAUGUAAUGUUCUACUUGAGUGUCUAGCUGAGUGGGAUUUAAAGAGAGUGUUAUGCAUUAAUGUGGAUAACGCUACAGCAAAUAGUUCUGCUAUGGUUAAAUUUAAGAAAGCAUUGAAGCAAAUCUCAGAUGAUGCAUUGAUACUGAAAGGUGAAUAUAUGCAUUUAAGGUGUGCUACUCACGUAUUGAAUUUGAUUUUCAGAGAAGGUAGAUUACGGCGUGGCUGCUUUAGAUGUCAAAACAAGAUGGAACUCUACUUAUCUCAUGUUAGAACAAGCUAUGAAGUUUAGAUUGGCAUUUGAAAGGAUGUAGGCUGAAGAUAAAGUGUAUAAUGAUUGUUUUCAGGAAAAGGUGGAUGAAAAGAAAAGAGCCGGACCACCUAUGCCAAAUGAUUGGGAUGAAGUUGACAGGAUCUUACAAGAUUUGUAUGAUGAGUACAGCAGAAACAGUUUAUUGAACAAGAAUAGUAGUGGUGGGUUAUUUUUCUCAUAAUCAAGCACAAGGACCGUUGUCACAGUUCCAAGAGCAAGUUCCACCUGAUUUUUGUGUGAGAACAGGUAUAGUUGAUAUGGAAAACAUAUUUGAUGAGAUUGUGAUGGAAACAUGGAUUCACAAUUCUUCUAAUGAGUUGGAGAUAUACUUAACGGAUAAGGUGGAGAAACCAAGUAUUCUAAAAGGUGCAGAAUACGAUUUGUUAUCUUGGUGGAAGGUCAACAGUGGGAAGUAUACGGCUCUAUCAGUAAUAGCUAAAGAUAUACUUGAAAUGCAAGUGUCUUCCGUGGCUUCAGAAUCUGCUUUUAGCAUUGUGGUAGAAUUUUAGAUCCUUAUAGGAGUUGUUUGACACACUAUAUGAUUGAAGUGUUGAUCUGCACUGAGCAAUGGCUAAAAUCAGAAAUUCACAUCAAUGAGAAAGGAGUCUCUGCAAUACAACAUUUGCUUUCAGAAGUUGAGUACGAUGAUGAACUUAUGAGAGAGUUUGAACCUGAAUUCACACAUUUGGACAGCUAAUCUUGAGAAUGAGACAAAGAUGGUCUUUAAUCUUUAUACCAAGUUAGCAAGUCACAACUCUCAAAGUUUAGUUUAAGCAUCGAGACUCUACAUUUUACCACUGUUUAAACUUUA